AUGCUCACUUAGGCACCAUAUCUCCUAAGAUUGGAAUUAUACAGAGAAGAUAAGCAUGGCUCUUAAAUAAGGAUAACACAAAAAUUCAUGAAACUUUUAAUAUUUUU
ensembl:snRNA U6 U6 spliceosomal RNA